rnacentral:rRNA from 1 species
CCUACGGGAGGCAGCAGUGAGGAAUAUUGGUCAAUGGGCGAGAGCCUGAACCAGCCAAGUCGCGUGAGGGAGUACUGCCCUAUGGGUUGUAAACCUCUUUUGUCGGGGAGCAAAAGCCGGACGUGUCCGGCUGUGAGAGUACCCGAAGAAAAAGCAUCGGCUAACUCCGUGCCAGCAGCCGCGGUAAUACGGAGGAUGCGGGGGUUAUCCGGAUUUAUUGGGGUUAAAGGGUGCGCAGGCGGAUUUUUAAGUCAGCGGUCAAAUCGUGGGGCUCAACCCCAUCCAGCCGUUGAAACUGGGGAUCUAGAGUGUGCGAGAGGUAUGCGGAAUGCGUGGUGUAGCGGUGAAAUGCAUAGAUAUCACGCAGAACCCCGAUUGCGAAGGCAGCAUACCGGUGCACAACUGACGCUCAGGCACGAAAGCGUGGGUAUCGAACAGGAUUAGAUACCCUGGUAGUC